UAACAAUUUCCUAGCCAUCAGGCAUCCUAUCUCACUCAAAAUGUAAGCCAUUGGAGGAAUAUCGCUAAUCAUAUCCAAUGUUUCUUUUCUUCCAUUCUAUUGCCAAUCGAUUAUUUCAAAUUUCAAAUAAUAUUUUCAACAACUGACAAAACAUUAAACCCCAUGAUAUAAUAUAGCCGACUAUGAAAAGUUGCAUAUUUUACAACGGUUCCAAACUCGACCAAUGUAAGCUUGUAAGGUGCUCCCAUAGAUCCGAAAGAUGCGUUAGACUCAUUUCAAUCAACCAUAAGAUAGUGUGUAGUAUGUGCAAAACGAUAUUCACAAGGUACUUUCUCACGCUGCACUGUUUUAGACUAUACAUGUCUUAGAUUGCUUGCAAAUCGACUACAUCUCUCAAUAUUGAUGGACGAAUAGCAUUGCAAUCCACACAUCCCUCCGUCUAUGAUAGUAGCCAAGAUAAUGGAACGUUUUCAGGAGAACGAUCGAGGUCGCUUGGUGCGAGGAGUUCGGUCUCAGAAAGAUCGAAACGGGUCGGUUGAUCUGUUAUCCACAUCAAUGCCGGCCGGACCUGGCCACGUUGACAGUUUCAACUCUUCUGGACCACCAUCGCCAAUACCGAUUCCACGCCAUUCUUCUCUUGCCUCUUAGACCCACUUUAGAAAAUGUAUUUGUCACCUGUUCUCUUCAAUUUUAUAUAUUUUCCUAGUUUACAAACUCUCACAGGACUGCAGGCAAUCAACUAUUCGUAAUCUCUCGAACUUUAUACGACCAUACAAAUAUACUUAUUUUGGAAAAUGUCUUUUUAAACUUCUCUACACUAUUUACACUUUUUCUAGAAGUUUAAGUUUUGAAGGCAUUCCCCCACUUUGAGGUAGGAAAACAGUAUUUUCAUACAUCCCAUGUCACGAGCUCACGUUUGAAUAUCUGAUAAUAUAAUCCUCAUUUCAGGCGACAAUUAGCUAAUAAAAAUGUUGCACUUUUAUAAUGCAUAAAUGUCUUAAAACCAUCACUUUAAAGCUUUAAGAACAAUUUAAAAAAACAUAUCGCUAGAUAUACCUAUAUUUAUCUCGACAGAACUGUUCGAGGAAAGACAAUUCACUCAAUCGAUAGAUUUUGCUCUUUGGAACCCCCUUUUUUAAUCUGACCAGGAAAAAAGUCUGUAACCUAAAAUUUUAACAAUUCACGUUAGGUCAUUUUACAGGGAAACGCAAUGGUUUCCUAGAAUAGCAACAGCAUGCAAUUACUUCGUGCGGAAAACUGAUCAGAUAUUUUUGAGAAUCUCUGGAAAAGGUAUUUACACAUUAAAUAGAUUUGUACCUUCAAAUCCUGUUAGCUGAUUAUAAAAAUGUAUAAAACA